rnacentral:lncRNA from 1 species
CAUGUUCUGAAGGUGCCAUCAUUUGAGAUGGAAGCUAUAUACUUCCACACACCCCAGACCAUGGACUGGAUAAGUAACAGUCUAGACCAAGCCUGGGGCAAGUCUAUCCUCCUUCUCUGUCAGUCCAGUGUGGUCUUUCCUGGGUGAUCUCUCAAAAGGAAAAAACUGUGCCUUAUCUGAGAUGCUAAAAGCCAAGAAUGAGUAAAUGACUGAAAAAGAAAGUCAGCAACAAAAGACAAUGGCGGCACAAUGGAGCGUGGUAUAAACCGAAUGGGUAGUUUCAGCGAGAGCAGAGUUAAUUAUUCCUAGGAAUCAGCAGACUGGGGGUGUAGUGUGGACAGCUCUCUAAUCAGGAGUCUGUGGACUGUCUUCUGGAUCUGCCACAGGCUAGUUCUGCGAUCCGUGAAUGUGGGCGAGUAUUUCUCAACUUCCAGGCUGCUACCUCCAGACCUGUUUCACGGUUGUGCAGAGAACAGGAAAUUUAGUCCACUGAGGUCACUACAGGUCACCCAAGCAUGACCGAGGGAAGGAUGAAGUGUUGGACUGUUGCCCCAGGGGUCUGCAUGGACAGCCAUGACCAAGACAUGGUCUGGAAGUUAUACUUUGUUUCCAUGACAACCUUGAGAACAAGCUUUCUCUUUUCAUUCCAUCCUCAUUCAUCAUUGCUGGUGAACUUAGAAGAGAAUUGUCCUUAAUUAAGAGACUCCGUUUUUAUAGAUGGUGCCAAGAGGACGACAAAAAGAGAACCACCAUUUGCGAGCCCAGCCAGGUGUACACACCAGAUCCCAGAUCGUCCAGAUUGGCAUAAUGACACCCUGUCUCAAAAAUAAAACAGCUGGAAAGUUAUGAGAGGCUUCCUGUACUCUGGAGAGCUGCUGCGUCUGGACUGAGAGGAGGGAAGUUAGCGAAGGAAGAAGAGGUGAGGAGAAAGAGGAAAGAGUGAAAAUGGUAGCUGAGAAAACAGAACAGAACAAAACAAAACUCGAUGUAUCAGCCUCACAGCCUACGAGUGCUCGUCUCCGUAUUCCUGCCUGACCCGCAUCUAUUUUUACACAUCUGCGGAGCUUGUUUGCCCGCCUCUGGUUUAUGCUAUCCACGGAGCCCUGCUGGUACUCCAGCCCAUUGUCUCCCCCCUGCUAGAUGCUCCCUUGCAGAGGCCCCCUGUGACCAACUGAUGGCUCUCCCUUGCAUAAGGCCACCUGCCCAUCAUCGACAAGUGUCAGAACUGAGUUUUCUUCAACAACAGACAUUUGUCAGGCUUAUUAGUUUUCAGUAAGUCUUAUUGUUUCUCAUCAUUUCCAAAUAUUAAAUGUUGGUUCAUUUUGACAGGAGGCUAACAUAACUGUCUCCCGAGAGGCUUCAUCCAGCAGCUGAUGGAGACAGAUGCAAGGACCCAGAGCUGAAGAUUAAGCGGAGCUUGGGGAGUCUGUGGAAGAGUUGGGGGAAGAAUUGAGAGAACCAGAGGGGUCAAGGACACCACCAAAAGAUCUACAGAGUCCACUCACCUGGGUCCAUGAGACUGAAUCCCCAACCAAGGAGCAGUCAAGCCUAAGUCCCCUAUGCUGACGUAGCAAAUGUUCAGCUUGGACUUCAUGUGGGUUCUGUAGCACUUGGAGCAGGGGCUGUCUCUGAUGGGUCCCUGUCCCCUAGCUGGGCUGCCUUGCCUCGCCUCAAUGAGAGAAG